rnacentral:rRNA from 1 species
CAAUACGGGGCUUAAUGUCUUGUAAUUGGAAUGAUGGGAAUUUAAACCUCUUCCAGAGUAUCAAUUGGAGGGCAAGUCUGGUGCCAGCAGCCGCGGUAAUUCCAGCUCCAAUAGCGUAUAUUAAAAUUGUUGCAGUUAAAAAGCUCGUAGUUGAAUUUCUGCUGCAUUGCAUUUGCUCCUUGACGAGUGUCUGUAUUGCGGCUUAUUUCGGAUUAUGCUUGCAUUUUCCGGAUGUUUACUUUGAGAAAAUUAGAGUGCUCAAAGCAGGCUUUUGCCUUGAAUAGUUUAGCAUGGAAUAAUAAAGUAGGACUUUGGUUCUAUUUUGUUGGUUUUAGGUACCAAAGUAAUGGUUAAUAGGAACAGUUGGGGGCAUUCGUAUUUA